rnacentral:rRNA from 1 species
CCUACGGUCGACAGCAGUCGAGAAUCAUUCACAAUGGGGGAAACCCUGAUGGUGCGACGCCGCGUGGGGGAAUGAAGGUCUUCGGAUUGUAAACCCCUGUCAUGUGGGAGCCAAUUAAAAAGAUAGUACCACAAGAGGAAGAGACGGCUAACUCUGUGCCAGCAGCCGCGGUAAUACAGAGGUCUCAAGCGUUGUUCGGAAUCACUGGGCGUAAAGCAUGCGUAGGCUGUUUCUUAAGUCGUGUGUGAAAGGCGCGGGCUCAACCCUCGGACGGCACAUGAUACUGCGAGACUAGAGUAAUGGAGGGGGAACCGGAAUUCUCGGUGUCGCAGUGAAAUGCGUAGAUAUCGAGAGGAACACUCGUGGCGAAGGCGGGUUCCUGGACAUUAACUGACGCUGAGGCACGAAGGCCAGGGGAGCGAAAGGGAUUAGAUACCCCUGUAGUC